ensembl:snRNA U6 U6 spliceosomal RNA
GUAUUUGCCUGUCAAAGCACAUACUAAAAUUGAAACGAAACAGAAAAGAUUAGCAUGGCCCCUGCGCAAGGAUGACAAGACAAGAAAGCUGAAAAUAUUAGGCAAACUUUU